rnacentral:lncRNA from 1 species
CUCUCUCUGCGGAAGCCAGCCACCGCUCUCCAAGGACUCUCGAGCAGCUCCAUCUACAGAUUCACAUGGAGAAGAAUUAAGGGUUCCUGCCAAUCACCAGCACCACUUUGCCAGCCUUGUAAGUGGGCCACCUUGGAAUUGGAGCCUCCAGUUCCUACUGACAUCUGACUGCAACAUCAUGAGAGACCCUGAGUUUGAACCACCCAGCUGAGCUGCUUCUGAGCUAACCCACUGAAACCACAGUUGGCAUCUGUGUGAAGAUGUGAAUGGAGGAGGCAGAGUAGGCAGUGAGUGCCGCAGCCACAGCUUGUGUUCUCUGCAGCCCUGGCACAGAAGAUAGGAACACUCAUGGGGGAUGCGGCCACUGUGAUGUCUUCCCACACAAGAAGUGCCAAGUGCUUUUCUCAUGCUUUUCUGGAUUGUCCCAUGGUGGACGAGUCAGCAGGAGUGAGAUGGAGCAGCACAGUAGAGGGGUACCUGGCAAGGCCCGGAGGGAGGACCCCCUGCCCCAAACAUUUCAAUGAUAUCAGGUUCCUUAGAUCCUGGGAUGAGGAGGUGGACCAGCAGAAGGUGGGCUUGUGAAGGCAGCCCGGGGUCCAAAUCCUCCUGGCUCUUCAGCUUAGCGGGUUAGUUAACAUUCAGAAGCCUUCAUCUCCCAUCUGCAAAAUGGGCAUGUCCAACUCAGAAGCUGCCUUGAAGAAAGGGUCUACCCAGCAUGGUGCGUGGAGCCUAAGCAGUCAGUACUUCAGGACUUCACCCGGCCCCUUUCCAAUAACUGCUGCUGUCGCCCUCACAGGAUGUCACCUUCAGCGUCUGAAAGCUGGGUUUGAUGCGUCUGGAAAGGCGUCCCUGACAGGCGUCGUUGCCAGGAGCCCCUAGUGCCACCAGCAGCCAGCAGGGGAGGGCGUCCUCUGCCCGCUCACUUCUGACCCUUCUCUCGUUGCACCCGGAACAUGGUGCAGCUGGGAGCAGCCUGGGCUGCGCGGAAGGCUCAGAUUUGGGGACGGCCCUUGCCAGUGACUGUGAGCUGGGGUGUCUUGGAAACUCCCAGUCUCAGCUUCUCCAUUUAUAAGAUGAGAAUGAUCAUACCAGACUCAGGCAAGGUUGUUUGUGCAUUAGUGAAAUCAGACGUAUUAAAUAAAGUACCACAUUGAUCGUGGAGUUGUUGAAUAACCAAGAACACGCCUAUCUGUCUCCAAAAAAUAAAUGUUGAAAAUG